CCUACGGGAGGCUGCAGUGGGGAAUAUUGGGCAAUGGGCGCAAGCCUGACCCCGCAACGCCGCGUGAAGGAAGAAGGCUUUCGGGUUGUAAACUUCUUUUGUCAGGGACGAAGCAAGUGACGGUCCCUGACGCAUACGCCACGUCUAACUACGUGCCAGCAGCCGCGGUACUACGUAGGGGGCAAGCGUUAUGCGGAUUUACUGGGUGUAAAGGGCGUGUAGGCGGGGAGGCAAGUCAGAUGUGAAAACCACGGGCGCAACCUGUGGCCUGCAUUUGAAACUGUUUUUCUUGAGUGCGGGAGAGGCAAUCGGAAUUCCGUGUGUAGCGGUGAAAGGCGUAGAUAUAAGGAGGAACACCAGUGGCGAAGGCGGAUUGCUGGACAGUAACUGACGCUGAGGCGCGAAAGCGUGGGGAGCAAACAGGAUUAGAUACCCCUGUAGUC
rnacentral:rRNA from 1 species